rnacentral:tRNA from 1 species
UGGUCAUCGGGUACGGCUCCGCCUCGCUGCCCGAGGUGCGGCGCGGCUGCCGGAUCGUGGCCGGCCUGAUCGCC